GCUUUUUGUUAUGAAAAUAUGAAAAGUCGGACCUGCCCGGUGAAUCGUCAUUUUAACGGUCGCAGCUACAACUGUGCUAAGGUAGCGCAAUGAAUUGUCCUUUAAUUGGGGAAAAGUAUGAAUGGAUUGACAUGGGAUAACUGUCUCUAGAGUAAAAAAAUAAGUUUUCUUUUAAGUGAAAAGGCUUAAAUAUUUGUAAAAGAAGAGAAGACCCUAUCGAGCUUAGUAAAGAUCUGUGAUGGUAAUAUUGAGUUAUUAGGUCUGAUGUUUUAUUGGGGCAAUAAGAGAUAAAAAUUAACGUCUCUUUUUAAAAUAAAGAUCCUAUUUGAUAGAAUGAAGAAAAAGCUACCGUAGGGAUAACAGCGUGAUUACUUUUUUUAAGAUCUUAUUGAAUAAAGAAUUUGCGACAUCGAUGUUGAAUUAAGAAAGAGUCAGGGUGCAGCCGCUUUGAAAAUAGAACUGUUCGUUCUGUAGUUUCUU
rnacentral:rRNA from 1 species